GACGAACCGUGCGAACGUUAUUCGGAAUCAUUGGGCUUAAAGGGUGCGUAGGCGGCGAUAUAAGUUGGAAGUGAAAUCCCAUCGGCUCAACCGUGGAAUAGCUCCCAGUACUGUAUCGCUCGAGGGGGAUAGGGGUCUGCGGAACUACCGGUGGAGCGGUGAAAUGUGUUGAUAUCGGUGGGAACGCCAGUGGCGAAAGCGGCAGACUUGACCCUUCCUGACGCUGAGUGCCCGAAAGCUAGGGGAGCAAGCGGG
rnacentral:rRNA from 1 species